CCACUACUCUUUCAGCGUUUUAGUCCAGUGAGUUAAUUACCUCCUCUGUUGUGUCGUGAAAUGGCUUGGCCGAGCACUGAAUCAUAACACCGCAGCAUCGCGCUAACUUGCUGCUGUCUUUGUGGCUGGCGGGCUGUGGCAUCAUAAGCUUUUGAUGAACCCACUCAAAAUGUGUCAUGAUCGGGCUAUAUGAGUCAAUUUUAGCGGCAUUAGCAGUAAUGGUGAUAAUCUUUUAUGAAGCUAACAUCCCAAACAUACCCUAUCAACACGGGACAGAAACAAAGAAUUGUACGGUAGGUUCAGCCAUUCCUUGAUCGACCUGACACCAGCAUUAGGCCUACUCGAUGUGUAUGAAGCAAGCUGCCUCUGCAUCAAGUGAGGGAAGAAGCCACCACUGAAAAGCUUUUUGGACUGUCAUUUGAAGGACACAAAUGAAAGGACAGGAAUCCUGCUCUGCGGCGUUGGCCUCACUAUUUAUUCAAGAAGCCCUUGGACACCACCAGAAUGUAUGAAAAUUGUAAACAGUAGGCACAGUCAUUCCUUGAUCGACCUGGCAUCAACAUCGCUCGAUGUGUAUGAAGCUGCAAGUGAGAGAAGAAGCCGCCACUGAACACCUUUUUGGACUGUCAUGACUCAAAUGAAAGGACAGGACUUCUACUCUGCUCGGUCGGCCUCACUACAUAUUCAAGAAGCCCUCGGACGUCAUCAGAAUGUAUUAAUGUGAAGAGGCAACAAGGGAGAGAUGAACGCUAUCAAAAAUGUGGAGAUGGAUCUGGCAGCCGACCGCUUUGGCACACACCCAACAAGAAACAAAACAAUAAAGAAUACUAAAAUGCAUAA